ACUACUUAGGGCAUCUUACAGAGGCUGCUGAAGAUUUCUUGAGGGAAAGCAGCCUGCAGCAUCAGACAAUGUGCAUGGGUGGAAAUGAAACCUUAAUAAAGACUUUAACUUAUUUUUGCCUGGAAGCUAGAUAUUAAUGAAACAGCUGCAACCAGCAUGCCUUAGCUCUCCGAUUGUGAUGAGGAUUGUUUGAAUCUUGUGAUAAGGAUACAGAAAGGUGCCAUGUAUCUAUCACCCAGCCUGCUACCUGCACUAGUAUGGACUGAAAACACAGUGCAGAUUGCAGAACUGGGAGAGUGAAUUUGCAAAGUUGACAGGAACUAUCAGCUACUGUUCUGAUAAAGGAAAGUGAGGAUUUCCUCAUGAAUGGGAGGACUGAUGACCAGUGUUUGUUCUGUUAAUUUCACCAAGCAACACAAAACCAGACAUGUGGAGUUACGUUUUGGUCCCAUUGAACCCUGUAGCCAUGGAUUUUAGUGGUAUUAGAGUUUCACUUGUGGAAAAAGGGAAGAACUAAUUAUACAAAACGGAGCCUCAGGUUUGGAAGCUGUGCUCUGCAGGCAGAGUUCUGUUGACUUAACCAGACGAAAUUCCUGUGGAAAGCCUUCUCCUUUGCCAGUCGACACUCCUAGCAAUGUUGUUGGCAUUUCCACACAUAGAGGACAAGGAUGGACUGGUUGGACAGUGGACUAAGGUGAGAGACUUGUUGCUGGUUUCCUUCAUUGAUUCUGAGUUGGUCAUUUAACCAUUGAACAAACCUUCACUGACUUGUGUCAAAGUGGAUUAAGUCCCUGACUUGAGUAGGAUGUGUCCGUGUUUGU